GGGUCGUGUUUCCAAAUACUUACUUUUUAAUGUAGUUUCUCUUUGUUUCGUGUUCUUUAGAAAGGGUAUCUUUCUGUUUUGUACCCAGUUGCCAAAAUGUAGUAUACACUGACUGCGUGGCUCGGGUCCUUUGUCCUUGUUUGUUUGUCUGUUACAUAGACUGUGGCUUGAUAACACUUAAUGUAACAGCAGGAGUUACAAUGAAGAGCAAAGGAGACACUUGAAUGCUCCUCUUUGAUCUCAGUAGGCAGAAGACUAUCAAAACUGGAAGACUGUGUCAACUACUUAGGCUAUGACUGUGUUUUGGGAGCAAUAAGUAUUUCCCAGCUGCUCUAUCUGGAUGUAUCACCUCACUGGAGCUAACUGGAAAAAAUCUGGGAAGAGAUUUCACAGGAGCACAGAUUUUACAGGCAAUUUUAUGAGUCUAGUCCUCUUCCCAGGCACCUGCUCUGCAUGAACCCAGUGAAGCUACCUCUGUGGAAAUGAUGCCGAGGCAAAAGAUGUGUAGAGAGGGAUGAAGGUAAAGAGGGGAAGAUUUUCAUAGCUUUUAUUUGCAAAUAGUAACACUGUGUUACUCCCUUUUUAAUUUUAAUCUUCUCAAGCUGUGCUGUCUUGGAUUCCCUGGACCGUGCCUUAUCAAAGAGGCCAGUUGGCUUGGAAUGGCUCUCAUCCAUCCAAAAUAGAGUAUGUGCAUCCAAAAUGCCUGUUAGGAAUAGCCUCUGGCCCUUUCCCUCUCCUGAAGCGUGUGUGGGAAUUAUUUAGGAGAGUGAUAUUUCUCAUGGGCUAAAAGGGACUAUCCUAACAGUUUGGCUGUACAGAAGAGAAAGUUCCAGCAGCUGAGAAUGUUCCCUGGCACCUUGGAAUUUACUAGCUUAAGAAGUGUAAAAUACUCAACUCUCUGCUAGGUUCAGAAUCAGACUGCGCUUACUUUUCAGGCUUGGGUAUUUCCCCAAAUGCUUCAGCUUUGCUUCCUUCUUUCUUCUAGGUUUUAAACUUUUAUUUCCAUUUUCAGUCUCUGAAAUGCCAAUGCUCUUGAUGUUUCCCACAAAAGGAGGCUAAUAACUUAAUCCUAAUUUAAGCCGAUAGCAGGCUGAAAAAAGUCCUUUCUUUCAGCGGUGCGUUAGAGAACAAUUUAUUUCUUUUUCUCCCCUCUCCCUCUUUUUUCUUUUUAAAUCCAAAUUCUUGCACAAGUGUUGCACAUUUGAGGCAAAGCAUCAUCUAGAGUGUCAAAAGUCUCCCAGUUCUGUAACUGCAGUUCCCAGAAGUAUGUAAACUGCCAGAGCUCUGCACUGUGGCUUGAAUAGCUACAGUUCUCUCCAUAUAGUUGUCAAGCUGUCAGUCAAUACAUACUCAUAAAAGAUAGCAUGUAUUACUUUAUCACAAGGCUGCAAGGAAAUGUCUAGAUAAUCAAGUGGAUGCAUAGAACCAGGAGGUGGUUUACAUUUGCUUUCUUUGUG
rnacentral:lncRNA from 1 species